UAGGUAAAAAACCAACAUUUUUUGGUGAAUCAUAAUAACUUCGCGAAUCGCAUGGUCUUGUACCGGCGAUGAAUCAUUCAAAUUUCUGCCCUAUCAACUUUCGAUGGUAAGGUAGUGGCUUACCAUGGUUGCAACGGGUAACGGAGAAUUAGGGUUCGAUUCCGGAGAGGGAGCCUGAGAAACGGCUACCACAUCCAAGGAAGGCAGCAGGCGCGCAAAUUACCCAAUCCUGACACAGGGAGGUAGUGACAAUAAAUAACAAUACAAGGCCUUUCAGGUUUUGUAAUUGGAAUGAGUACAAUCUAAAUCUCUUAACGAGUAACAAUUGGAGGGCAAGUCUGGUGCCAGCAGCCGCGGUAAUUCCAGCUCCAAUAGCGUAUAUUAAAGUUGUUGCAGUUAAAAAGCUCGUAGUUGGAUUUCUGUUUCUGGGAUCUGGUCCGCCUCACGGUGAGCACUGGAUAACUGGGAACAUCCUCUCGAAGGCGGCGGGUGCACUUGAUUGUGUGUUUGUUGAAUUCGGGACCUUUACUUUGAAAAAAUUAGAGUGUUCAAAGCAGGCGUCGGCUUGAAUACAUUAGCAUGGAAUAAUGGAAUAGGACUUUGGUUCUAUUUUGUUGGUUUCUAGGACCGAAGUAAUGAUUAAUAGGGACAGUUGGGGGCAUUAGUAUUUAAUUGUCAGAGGUGAAAUUCUUGGAUUUAUGAAAGACUAACACCUGCGAAAGCAUUUGCCAAGGAUGUUUUCAUUAAUCAAGAACGAAAGUUAGGGGGAUCGAAGACGAUCAGAUACCGUCGUAGUCUUAACCAUAAACUAUGCCGACUCGGGAUCGGUGUGGUCACUUUAGCCGCAUCGGCACCGUAUGAGAAAUCAAAAGUUUUUGGGUUCUGGGGGGAGUAUGGUCGCAAGGCUGAAACUUAAAGAAAUUGAACGGAAGGGCACCACCAGGAGGUGGAGGCCUGGCUUAAUUUGACUCCACAC
rnacentral:rRNA from 1 species